ACGUAGGGGGCGAGCGUUGUCCGGAAUUACUGGGCGUAAAGGGUGCGUAGGUGGCCUUUUAAGUUGGAUGUGAAAUCCCCGAGCUCAACUUGGGUGGUGCAUCUAAUACUGGAGGGCUAGAGUGCAGGAGAGGAAAGCGGAAUUCCUAGUGUAGCGGUGAAAUGCGUAGAUAUGAGGAGGAACACCAGUGGCGAAGGCAGCAUUCUGGACUGUAACUGACACUGAUGCACGAAAGCGUGGGGAGCAAACAG
rnacentral:rRNA from 1 species